rnacentral:rRNA from 1 species
GUGCAGCAGGCGCGAAAACUCCGCAAUGUGCGAAAGCAUGACGGGGUCACCCCGAGUGCCAUCCGCUGAGGGUGGCUUUUACUCGGUGUAACUACCCGAGCGAAUAAGGGGAGGGCAAGUCUGGUGUCAGCCGCCGCGGUAAUACCAGCUCUCCGAGUGGUAGGGACGAUUAUUGGGCUUAAAGCGUCCGUAGCCGGCUCAGCAAGUCUCCCGUUAAAUCCAACGAUUCAAUCGUUGGACUGCGGGAGAUACUGUUGAGCUAGGAGGCGGGAGAGGCCGACGGUAUUCCCGGAGUAGGGGUGAAAUCUUAUAAUUCCGGGAGGACCACCAGUGGCGAAGGCUGUCGGCUAGAACGCGCUCGACGGUGAGGGACGAAAGCUGGGGGAGCGAACCGGAUUAGAUACCCGUGUAGUCC